rnacentral:rRNA from 1 species
UACGUAGGGUGCAAGCGUUAUCCGGAAUUAUUGGGCGUAAAGAGCUCGUAGGCGGCCUGUUGCGUCCGCUGUGAAAGCCCGGGGCUUAACCCCGGGUCUGCAGUGGAUACGGGCAGGCUAGAGGUAGGUAGGGGAGAAUGGAAUUCCCGGUGUAGCGGUGAAAUGCGCAGAUAUCGGGAGGAACACCGGUGGCGAAGGCGGUUCUCUGGGCCUUACCUGACGCUGAGGAGCGAAAGCGUGGGGAGCGAACAGG